rnacentral:misc_RNA from 1 species
AACUUUCGACAACGGAUCACUUGGUUCUGGCAUCGAUGAAGAACGCAGCGAAAUGCGAUAAGUAAUGUGAAUUGCAGAAUUCAGUGAAUCAUCGAAUCUUUGAACGCACAUUGCACCCUCUGGCAUUCCGGGGGGUAUGCCUGUUCGAGCGUCAUUACAACCCUCAAGCCUUGCUUGGUGUUGGGUGCCACCUGUCACAGGGUGCACCUCAAAAUCAGUGGCGGUGCGGCCUGGCUUCAAGCGUAGUAACUCUUCUCGCUCCGGAGCCCAGGCGGCAUACCUGCCAACAACCUCAAACACAUCAAAGGUUGACCUCGGAUCAGGUAGGGAUACCCGCUGAACUUAAGCAUAUCAAUAAGCGGAGGCU